GACGGUUGAGUUUGGCUGGGAAUAACUUACGUGGAAAUAUAGCAUCACAUUCUAUUUUGAGGAGACUCACAUCACUUGAGUACCUCAGUAUUGAGGAUAACCAAUUUGAUGUUCCUCUGUCAUUCAGCCAAUUUUACAACUAUACGAAAUUGAUCUACUUGGAUGUUGGUUAUAGUACAAUAAUUCCAGAUACCGAGUUCCAAAAUUGGAUCCCGAAUUUCCAGUUGGAGUUUUUUGGUAUAUAUGGAUAUAUAAAGCUUCAAAAGUUGCCUUCUUUCCUUCACUAUCAAUAUGACUUGA
rnacentral:misc_RNA from 1 species